UACAGAGGUGGGAAGCGUUGUUCGGAAUUACUGGGCGUAAAGGGCGCGUAGGCGGCCCGUCAAGUCCCGUGUGAAAGCCCCCGGCUCAACCGGGGAACGGCGCGGGAAACUAGCAGGCUUGAGUUCGGGAGAGGGAAGCGGAAUUCCGGGUGUAGCGGUGAAAUGCGCAGAUAUCCGGAGGAACACCGGUGGCGAAGGCGGCUUCCUGGACCGACACUGACGCUGAGGCGCGAAAGCGUGGGGAGCGAACAGG
rnacentral:rRNA from 1 species